CAUCAAGGAUAUUUACUAGCCAGACUUCCAUGGUGUCUACAUGAAAGGUUUAUGCGAAGGAGGACGCCACCCUCACUGUCAGAGCGUGGUCGAGGCUUUUGACAAGCGCCAAAGGGGUGAUUACAGUUCCCCCGCAUUGAUCUGCCACAGGAAAACUAAAUCUCUCGUGCCUCUUGAUUAUUGCUAGAUGGUGCAGAACUACCACUUUCUGUUCUGUCUGGAAGCGUCCCAGUUGUCACCGCACCAAAUGCCACGAACUUUCAAUUGCUAUCUAGGGUAUAAAAUGAGUAACUAUCACAAAUAUUCUUUUGC
rnacentral:lncRNA from 1 species